CGUUAAUGAGGGAGCAGAACUGAGUAAACAUCUGAAGAGGUUAGGAGGGGUUGAUGCUGCAGACCAUGUAAAGAAGUCAAUGGCUGCAACUAUGACAAAUAAAAUGAUGGCUCUAAUGAGCCUCAGAGGAAGGAGUGGGAAGGUGUCCUUUAUGAAGACCCAUCUUUACAAGCUCAUCUGUGACGCAGUGUUCAGCUCAUUUGACACAACAACAACAAAAAUAAAUGAACACAUGGCCAAAUAUUUAAAAUAUGCACCAGAGAGGAUGGGUGGCGGUGGCAGAAAAAAGGAAAAAUAACCAGCCAUGUUCAAUGUGGCCCAGUGUUUGGG